UACGAAGGGGCUAGCGUUGCUCGGAAUGACUGGGCGUAAAGCGUGCGCAGGCGGUUUUGUAAGCCAGAUGUGAAAUCCCCGGGCUUAACCUGGGAAUGGCAUUUGGGACUGCAAGGCUUGAGUGCGGCAGAGGAGACUGGAAUUCCUGGUGUAGCAGUGAAAUGCGUAGAUAAUCAGGAUGGAACACCGAUGGCGAAGGACAGGUCUC
rnacentral:rRNA from 1 species